rnacentral:rRNA from 1 species
AUUGAACGCUGGCGGCAGGCUUAACACAUGCAAGUCGAGCGGGGGAAGGUAGCUUGCUACCGGACCUAGCGGCGGACGGGUGAGUAAUGCUUAGGAAUCUGCCUAUUAGUGGGGGACAACAUCUCGAAAGGGAUGCUAAUACCGCAUACGUCCUACGGGAGAAAGCGGGGGAUCUUCGGACCUUGCGCUAAUAGAUGAGCCUAAGUCGGAUUAGCUAGUUGGUGGGGUAAAGGCCUACCAAGGCGACGAUCUGUAGCGGGGCUGAGAGGAUGAUCCGCCACACUGGGACUGAGACACGGCCCAGACUACUACGGGAGGUAGCAGUGGGGAAUAUUGGACAAUGGGGGGAACCCUGAUCCAGCCAUGCCGCGUGUGUGAAGAAGGCCUUAUGGUUGUAAAGCACUUUAAGCGAGGAGGAGGCUACUCUAGUUAAUACCUAGGGAUAGUGGACGUUACUCGCAGAAUAAGCACCGGCUAACUCUGUGCCAGCCGCCGCCGUAACAC